CAAAAGGAAGUAGAUAAAAAAAUAGACGUACAAAGUAUGUCAUCAAGCUGCGUUUGAAUACAGCGAGAGAUAAAUCUAGUCAUGGAUAAAAGAAAACAAAAAAUAGAAAAGUGAUCAGCAGGUGCACAGCAGAGGCAUGGACAGUGGAUCGACACUCACAGAGUUCGAGCGAGGCAUGGUGAUCGGCUGCAUCCGGGCAGGCAAACAAGUCAAAGACAUUAUCAAAGCUGGAGGCCUGCCAAAAGCUGCGGCGCUGAAGUUUGCAGCGGAUGUUGAGAAGGGAAUUGUUGAUAUUGAAACAGGCCUGUACAAAUCAACCAGAAUUGAGGAUCCGGAGCCUAAAGAAAACACUGGAAGUAAAAUGGAGAAAACAACAACAUAAUAUACUGGUUUUAACUGUAAAUGACAGUGAGAACAUUCCCAAACCCAAAUAGAUCCAGAGACUCCAGGGUUUAAUGGACCCUGCUCUUCCAAGGUGUACCUUGUAUAUGUGCCUGCUUUUCUGUUGGACAAGGAUUCUGUUUUUGUUUAAUUAUGAAGUGACCAGUUAAAAAUAAAAAUAAAUAUAUAUAUAUAUGACGUAUACACACACUGCUGUGCAAAAGUCUUCGACACAUUCAGGAGUUACACUAUAUGGAUAUUAUGAGCAUCAACAAUUUACUCAACGCCUCCACUAGUGUUUUCUACUAUUAUAACAGCUUUGACUGUUGUUAAUACAGCUUAGUUUGGGUGAGAAGAAACCAAGCUUGUCAUUUAGCAAUAUUUAAUGCACAUUGAUUAGAAUCUUUAAAAACUUGUGAUCCCAACAACUCAAAGUAAGCUCUACAUGAGCAGCUAAUAUGAAGUGUUGUAGUAGCUAAUCCUUCACAUUUACCAAUCCAGUCUAAUUGAUGACUCAUUGCCAGUGUUUCUGUCUACACAUCCAUAAAGCUAAAAGCCCACUUUUUGUACUGCAGAAUACAGAUCUAUCAGGAUUAACUGUUAGCUUAAAACAAAAUGGCUAAAAUUUCAGUAGAAGAUCGCCAUAGAAUUGUGUUUCUGCAUAAAGAAGGAAAAACAUUGAGUGAAAUAGCUCGCAUCACUCGAUUUUCAAGGUGUGGUAUCCGAAGCAUAAUCAACAAGUACAGAGAAACAUCAUCUGUAAUUGACAAACCCAGGACCGGAAGACCCAAAAAGCUGUCUAACAAGGAUGAGCAAUACUUGAAGAUUAGAAAGAAUAGAAAGAAGACAAGCGUUGAAUUGACAACAGAACUGGCAGAAGGCUCAGGUGUCUUUGUCCAUCCAUCAACAGUACGAAGGUCACUUUUGAAAUCAGGACUUAAAGGAUGUGUUGCAGUUAGAAAACAUCUGUUAAGAAAGAGGAACAAGACUAAAAGGCUAAAAUAUGCACAAGAACACAGAAAUUGGACUAUGGAACAAUGGUCAAAGGUGCUUUGGACAGACGAGUCAAAGUUUCAGUUAUUUGGAUCUAACUGAAGACAGUAUGUGAGACGAUGAACAACUGAAACUUAUAAAGAGCCUUGCUUGAAGCCAACAAUUAAGCAUGGAGGAGUUUCAAUUCAAGUUUGGGGGUGCAUAUCCUCAAGUGGUGUUGGAAAAUUGAUGGUAUAUUGAAACUGAUGGUAUAUUUAAUCCACCAUGCUAUCCCCAGUGGUGCAAGACUUAUUAGUCCAAACUUCAUUUUACAGCAAGGUAAUGAUCCAAAACACUAAUUAAAACUUAUUUGCAAAAGAAAGAGGAAGCUGGAGUCCUUCAACGCAUGGAAUGGCCCCUCAAAGCCCAGAUCUCCAUAUCAUUGAAGCUGUAUGGGACUAUUUGGACAAUAAAAAAGAAUUCCAGAAACUUAGGUGAUCUCUGGAAGGUCUUGGAAGAAUUGUGGAACACAAUUCCACAAGAGUUUAUAACAAAAUUAUUUGAAAGUGUCCGUAGAAGAAUUUCAGUGGUUUUGAAGGAAAAGGGUGGACAUACUCGCUAUUCGUUUAUAUCAAGGUAUAGUGUGUAUAUGUUUGGUUAAUUGAAUAAGAUUUUCUUUUUCAUAAAGGUGUAUUAUGCAUCAGUGUCCCUUGUAAAGAAACUUUAGAAUUUUGUCAAAAGUCACUAGAUAAUAGACUAGAUAAAUCAACACCAACAGCAGAAGUGCUGAACAUGAUCAACGUAGUUUUAGCAAAGUUAUUUUACAUUUGUUGGUAAGAAUUACAAACAAAACGAUGGUACAGCCAUAGGAUCUAAAUUAGGAAUGUAUUUUGCCAGUACAUACAUGGGGAAAUGGGAAGAACAAUUACUUAGAAAAUCGGAAAGAGAACCUUUAGAAUACAUUCGGUUUGUAGAUGAUAUUUUUGGGGUUUGGACACAUGGAGAUAAAAUCUAUUUUCCAGUUUCAUAAAAUGGCAAAUUAAAUACACAGUAAUAUUAAGGUGGACCUUCGAUGGACAUGAAAAGAAAUAUAAUUUUUAGAUACCAUAGUAAAACUUGAAGGUGGUUUAGCUGAGACUGACCUCUUCUGUAAACCUACUGACAUGCACCAGUAUUUACACAUGUCCUCUGCACAUCCGAUACACACUAAAAGGGCAAUCCCAAAGGGUCUAGGAAUAGGAAUACGAAGAAUAUGCUCAAAAGAAAAAGACUAUGUAAAACAAAGAAAUGUAUUAAAAACAAAUCUUAAAAAAGAGGAUACAAAGAAAUAAUUAGAGACAGAGUUAAGAAAAGUGGAUAGACUAAAAAGAGAUGAUCUACUAGAUUAUAAAAAUAGAGCUAAAAGGUCAAAAGAGUCUCAUUAGUAAAGACUUACUCAAAACUUUUGCCCAAUAUUUCUAAGAUAGUUUGGAAACACUUGCGGAUUCUACAUAAUUCAGAAAAAUUGAAAAAAGUAUUUCUUAAGGCCCCAGUUAUUGCAUUCAAAAGAGAAGCUAAUUUAGGUGAUAUUUUAGUUCACAGUAAACAUAAAAGAAUAAUUGACUGAAUAGGUUUUAUAAAUACUUGCACUAGUACAUGCAAAGUGUGUAAAUACAUGGACAAAAGUACAAAUAUAAUUAAACAUAAGAACAACACAUAGCCACUAAAAACUAAUACCUACUGUAAAAAUAGCAAUGUUGUUUAUGGAAUAGCCUGUGAAAAAUGUGAUGAAAUAAAAUAUGUUGGAGAGACUGGAACAACUUUAUAUAAAAUAAUUCAGAACCUCCUUUCAUUAAUUAGAAAUAAAAAAAAAUGAAUGAACCAAUAUUACAGCACUUCACCAGUCAAGGACAUGACAUUAAUGAUGUAAAGUUUGUAGUAUUAGAACUGCUAGAAUACUGAGCAUCAAAAGAAAUGUAUCACUGAUAUGUGAGCAUCAAAAGAAACGUAUUGCUUAUAUUUGGAUAAAAUUCACUAAAUGUGAUCGAAAAAUGACAAACUCUGUUUUACAGCAGGUGCAGGGACUUUUCAUUGUGCUGAUUAACAAUUGACAUUUUAAAUACAUUUUACUGUCUUAAUCAAAAAAUAAUAGCACAACCCUUCAAUGCACCUUCUUUAGGUUACAUUUAAGAGCUUGCAAUAUGAAAACAAAGCUAAUUUAAGAGAAGGUGUGAUGUAAAUGUGGAAUAUGGACAGAUGGACAGACGUCCCCCUAAAUCCACAGCAUCUGAUAUUAUCAUUAAAUUAUGAUAAAUAAUGUUACUACCAAGUUUCAUGAUUUCAACUGCAGUUUUCAGUAUAUAUAGAAAUAUCUGUGAAGUGUAACAUAUACGUUCGACCACUACUGUGUGAUAGAUGCUGGUGCCUGCGAGUAUUGACACUCUGUGGUUCCAUCUGCAUCACUUAGCUGUCUGGAUGUUCUAUUACUAUUUAAUUAAACACAGAGCUUGCAACAGAUUAUCAGCAUAAUAGAAGCUGAUUACUUCUUGUUCUGCAGAGUCAUCUAUCAUUAAUGUCAAAACUAAAAUUUAAAAUGUAUGGCAUUUGCAACAUAAGCAUUUAAUGGACAAAAAAUAAGUAAAAUGGAAAAUAGGAAGUUAUCACAUGAUAUGAGAGAACUACAGUAAAAAUAGGCUUGUGUGUUCCCAUAAGUGGAUUAGUGGUUUAGGUAUUUAAAUAUAACUAUUUUCAGAGCAAACUUUUUUGUUCAGGUGCUAUGAUUUGAAGGUGAACACUGUACCCUUUAUGCAGUAUUGCCAAAACAUUGGAUGUAUUAUAUGUUCAACCAUAAGAGAUAUUUUGAUGAUCUCAACAGAACUACAGUUGUCCAAUUUGUUAACACUAACGCUAUAAAAUGGCAAAAAACAAAACAUUUAUUUCCUGCUUUGUGAUAUUUAUUUAAAAGGUGCAGUAAGGAUAACUGCCAUAAUUCAAGUGCUGAAUACAAUGUUAAUACCCUAGCGUAGUGACCUCUUCUUGCCUUCCAGAUUUUCACUGGAUAUUAGGUGACAAGAGAAAGAGCACCUGCCCUUUUUUUUGUAAAUAUUCUUUAAUGUACCUGUGACAGAGUGGCUGUGCAGUUUAUAUCUUUCAAUAGAACAAUUAGAAAUUAUAUAGAAAUCACUUUCUUUGUGGUUUUUCUCAUUUUUAACUGCCCAAAUACUUAUGUCUGAGACUGUAUAUGCUUUUAUGAAAUACUCAGUAUGUCCAGUUGUGGCUGUAAGUUAUAGUGUUGUUCCUAAAGAAUGUCAAACUAAGCUUAUUUAAUCAAAUACAACAUGAAAAACUGUGAAACUACCUUUUUAUGCUCUACUCUCUUGUAUAUUUAAAAAAUGUUUUCUUAAAUGGAUUAAUUUGCUUAUUUUUGUGAGAGUUAACAUGAGGAUUUGUUUGCUUAGUUUUAAACACUUAAUGUGAUUUUUAAAUAAAUCAAUGAAUUCUAUUGAGAAUUUGCUGUGUCAGUUUGUAGAAUCCUUGUGAGGGUUUGUAAUUCCACUGCUGAUGUAUUGACUGCUCAUAUGAACCCUUUCAUAGGACUAUUGACUCUUGUCAGUGUUGUGGAAACUAAGAUGUUCACCAUGCUGUGGUCAUGUGACAUUGAUAUAUAGUUUGAUAGAUAGAUAGAUAGAUAGAUAGAUAGAUAGAUAGAUAGAUAAAUUUAUAGGUACCCUACGUUUAUUCUACCAUAAUUCAAGGUAACAGAUAAAGGACAAAUAUUUAUAACCACCUUUUAAUAAAACAAAAAGCAAAAUAACAAUUUCUAGUCAUUUAAUAAAUCAUUUUUUUAAUAAUAAUAAAAAAAAACUUAUUUAAUCUUGUUGGUGAAAUCUGGGCCCAUUCUGUCUUAGAUAUUUCCUUCAGCUCAGACAGAUUGUAUACAAAAUGCAUGACUCCAGCUUUUUUCAGAUCAGUCCAAAGCAUGUUUAUAGGAUUGAAAUCUGGUGAUUACGAAGGCCAUUCCAGAACUUUUAUCUUUGUUUUCUUCAAGAAAUAUGCAAGAUAGAAUUAGCCCCAAUUUCACCAACAAGAUGUAACAUAAUGGUUAAGAAUUACCAUUAAUUUCUAAAAGCUGUAAUAAAUGCACACAAAACACUAAAGCAGGGGUGCCAAUAUUUUGGUCAUGAAUGAAUA